rnacentral:rRNA from 1 species
UAAGGAAUAUUGCUCAAUGGGAGAAAUCCUGAAGCAGCAACGCCGCGUGGAGGAUGAAGGGUCUAUGACUUGUAAACUCCUGUAAAGAAGGAAAAAAUUCCCAUUUGAUGGGAGAUGAUGGUACUUCUGGAGUAAGCCCCGGCUAACUACGUGCCAGCAGCCGCGGUAAUACGUAGGGGGCAAGCGUUGUCCGGAUUUACUGGGUGUAAAGGGUGCUCAGGCGGAUUUGUAAAUCAGAGGUGAAACCUUACAGCUUAACUGUGAAACUGCCUUUGAUACUGCAAGCCUAGAGUAUGGAAGAGAGUGAUGGAAUAUCUGGUGUAGCAGUGAAAUGCGUAGAUAUCAGAUAGAACACCAAUGGCGAAGGCAGUCACUUGGUCCAUUACUGACGCUAAAGCACUAAAGCGUGGGUAGCAAACA